rnacentral:rRNA from 1 species
AUGUCCUACGGGAGGCAGCAGUCGGGAAUAUUGCGCAAUGGAGGAAACUCUGACGCAGUGACGCCGCGUGAGUGAAGAAGUAUUUCGGUAUGUAAAGCUCUGUCAGCAGGGAAGAAAGCAAUGACGGUACCUGACCAAGAAGCCCCGGCUAACUACGUGCCAGCAGCCGCGGUAAUACGUAGGGGGCAAGCGUUAUCCGGAAUUACUGGGUGUAAAGGGAGCGUAGACGGCUGUGCAAGUCUGGAGUGAAAGGCGGGGGCCCAACCCCCGGACUGCUCUGGAAACUGUAUGGCUGGAGUGCAGGG